UACGUAGGGGGCAAGCGUUGUCCGGAAUCAUUGGGCGUAAAGAGCGUGUAGGCGGCUUGUUAAGUCUUGCGUGAAAUCUCGGGGCUCAACCCCGAACGGUCGUGAGAAACUGGCAGGCUAGAGUGCGGGAGAGGAGAGUGGAAUUCCUGGUGUAGCGGUGAAAUGCGCAGAUAUCAGGAAGAACACCCGUGGCGAAGGCGGCUCUCUGGAACGCAGCUGACGCUGAGACGCGAAAGCGUGGGGAGCAAACAGG
rnacentral:rRNA from 1 species